AUACGGAGGGUGCAAGCGUUAAUCGGAAUUACUGGGCGUAAAGCGCGCGUAGGCGGUUUGUUAAGUCAGAUGUGAAAGCCCCGGGCUUAACCUGGGAACUGCAUUUGAUACUGGCAGACUAGAGUAUAGGAGAGGAAAGUGGAAUUCCGCAUGUAGCGGUGAAAUGCGUAGAUAUGCGGAGGAACAUCAGUGGCGAAGGCGACUUUCUGGCCUAAUACUGACGCUGAGGUGCGAAAGCGUGGGGAGCAAACAGGAUUAGAAACCCCGGUAGUCC
rnacentral:rRNA from 1 species